AUGCAAGCCCAGAAUAACCUGGAUGUGUGACUCACAGGGGUAGGGGUAGCAAUUUUGCAGAUUUUCCAAACAGGUGACUUCAGCCCCCUGGGCCUGGGCAGGAAGGGGUAGCCCAGUGACAAUGGGCAUAGUCCCACUUCAGGAACGGGAAACGUGUUGGCUGGCUCUGUGGAGUUCUCUCUCUUCUGAUCCCACAGCAUCUGUUCCGGUUGUCUUGGCUGCUGGGGUAUGGCCGUCAAUGUGUACUCCACAUCUGUGACCAGUGAAAAUCUGAGUCGCCAUGAUAUGCUUGCAUGGGUCAACGACUCCCUGCACCUCAACUAUACCAAGAUAGAACAGCUUUGUUCAGGGGCAGCCUACUGCCAGUUCAUGGACAUGCUCUUCCCCGGCUGUGUGCACUUGAGGAAAGUGAAGUUCCAGGCCAAACUAGAGCAUGAAUACAUCCACAACUUCAAGGUGCUGCAAGCAGCUUUCAAGAAGAUGGGUGUUGACAAAGUAGGUGCCUGCGCUCCGGGGGGCCCUGAGGAGCAGUGUGACCCUGGGGAAGAAGAG
rnacentral:sRNA from 1 species